rnacentral:rRNA from 1 species
CAUUCGGAUCGGAGUCUGCAACCCGACUCCGUGAAGCUGGAUUCGCUAGUAAUCGCGCAUCAGCCAUGGCGCGGUGAAUACGUUCCCGGGCCUUGUACACACCGCCCGUCAAGCCAUGGGAGCCGGGGGUGCUUGAAGUGCGUCGCCGUGAGGCGCGCCCUAGAGCAAAACCGGUGACUGGGGCUAAGUCGUAACAAGGUAAC